rnacentral:rRNA from 1 species
AGCUUAGAGACAGGUGGUGCAUGGUUGUCGUCAGCUCCGUGUCGUGAGAUAGUUGGGUUAAGUCCCGCAACGAGCGCAACCCUUACGGUUAGUUGCUACGAAAGAGCACUCUAGCCGGACUGCCGUUGACAAAACGGAGGAAGGCGGGGACGACGUCAAAUCAUCAUGCCCCUUACGUUCCGGGCUACACACGUACUACAAUGGCGCAAACAAAGGGAAGCGAGAUCGCGAGAUGGAGCAAACCCCAUAAAAGGCGUCCCAGUUCGGACUGCAGGCUGCAACCCGCCUGCACGAAGUUGGAAUUGCUAGUAAUCGCGGAUCAGCAUGCCGCGGUGAAUACGUUCCCGGGCUUU